ensembl:misc_RNA Metazoa_SRP Metazoan signal recognition particle RNA
GCCGGGCGUGGUGGCUCACGCCUGUAAUCCCAACACUUUGGGAGGCUGAGGCAGGUGGAUCACCUGAGGUCAGGAGUUCAAGACCAGCCUGGCCAACAUGGUGAAACCCUGUCUCUA